UACUAUGUAAGCUAUAAAGCUAAAAAUCUAAAAAAAAUAACUUAAAAUUGCUGUCAUUUGUCAAUUAAGCUUGAGCUGUCGGAUAAUUGUGUCAAAUGAAGACACUAAGCUAUUAAUUACUUAUAAGAGAAGGAGUUAUUUAGUGAAGUUAUCAUCAUAAUUUAUUCCCUGCCCUUCCAUUCUCUUUCCAAAAAGAAAGAAACAAAAAGUAGCCUUGUUCCAUCCGUUCCAAAAGAAAGAAGGAUGAAGAAUUUUUUUGUUAACUCCCAUCCGUUUCAAAACAAGUUCGGCUCCACAAUCAUCCCAAAAUCCAUUCUCAACUUCUUCAAUUACCAAGCAUACAAGAAGAAAUUAGAGUAAAAUAUUGUCCAAGAAAGGGUUUAAUUCAAGAUUGAAGCAAGGAUGAGACUAUAACAUCAAAUUAAGAGGUAAGCCAUGUGUUUUUGCUAUAUUCAUAUAACUUGAACAAAUAAUAUCUGUUAUCAUAAUUGCUAUGUUUUGGUUGUGGGAGAUUGUAUUUUUGAUAGAAUUGAAAGGAUUCUAGGGUAAUAAGGAUAUAAUUGAGUGGGAAAUUGGAUAUCAAACAUGUUCAAACCCGUAUGAAAUCUGAACUUUAAAGCUAUGCACACAAAAUGUUUGUUAAAAUGUCUCAAUGAGACUAUUAUGUUAAAACAUGAGAAUUGGUUAAAGCUCUGUGCUAGAUAAUGUACACAUGAGUUAUAAGAUAAAUCAAGUUGGUUAGAAAUUGAGUGUGUAUGUCUAUGUCAAAAAAAUAAUUUGACUUUGCAUUGGUGCUGUAAUAUUGUUAGGCAAGGUCUACGUCAACUUUCAAAUAGGCAAGAAAAAAAAACUGCUUAUAAUCUUGUGUAUCUUUUUAUAUACCUUAGAAUGUUUAUUGAUUUGGAAAUAUUAUUAUUUGAAGCUUCAACAUGAUGUUAAAAGUAAGAAUUUUCUGUUGAGACAUUUACCACGUACCGCUUUGUGAGUUCCAGAGUAGCUUAAUAGCUUUUACUAAACACUCAUAGUAGCUUUUAUUUACUACUUGAUGAUAGCAAAAGAAGAAGUCUCUUUGUUAGGAUUAGAUAAACUACAAGUCAUGAAAUAUAUUCCUAUUGCACUAGAUCCUAGCAAAAGUUACAUUGUUCAUAUACCACGGGAACUGAUUAGUGUGUUUCAAAUGAUAAAUAAGUACCUAAAUAAAGAGGGAAAAAUGUUGAAACAUUUAUUAGAUAGUCAUACCCAUUUACCAUCUGCUGCAUUAUUAUCAUUGCAGGGACAAAAGCAGUAGGUACAUGGUCCAUAAUGAAUGGGCCAUAUUGUUCUUUUUCUUCUCAUCUAUUUGCCUUAUUAACCUCCCGAGAUUAUGAAAAGGUAAAGAGUGCCAAAAUGAUUAAACUAGACACAUACUUGUGGACAAAUCCUCAAACAUUCCCAGUCACUCACUUCCAUUCUACACCACAUUCCUCAUACAAUGAUAAUAAAGUAUCUGGAAAAGCUCACUAUUAUUGAUAAUAUAGGUCAUUAUAAAGGAAAACUAGAAAGUGUAAAUUUAUGUUUUCCUCACCAACUCUUUCCUGAUUGGAAUAUAGGGGUCAGUCUUCACAAUUGUUGUCUAUUGUGGAUGGCUUCCUUUGUUUAGAAUAAAAUGAAUCUUGAUAUUGAUAUAAAUGAGGAUAUAUUGAACAAAGUGGCUAACAGAAAUCAGUUUUUUCUCUCUCCUUUUAAUUUCUAUAAUUUGAUUUCUUUUUGAAUUGCUAAGAUAAUGACCUGUGAAGUUAAUAAUAAUUGGGGAUGUAAUUGAAUCUACUGUGACUGUUACAGGAUGAUUACUGGGUUCUAAAACAAGUGGCCCAAAAAUCAGAUUAUGUGAACAGGUAUUUCUUUUUCCAGGGUCCUGUUAAUGUUUCCUUUCCACCGAUUUUGGUUGCACUUUGGUUAUUUAGGAUUAUAUGGAAAUUUAGGAUUUUAUAUAUGUAAAUUACCGAAGGAAAAAUCUGUCUUCCUUGUUUUGGUUAUUGAAGUUUUAUGCUCUCUACAUUCCACUUCAAGUUUCAAAACCAUGUCUGGAUGAUGGUAUUGUUAUUUGGAGUUAUAAUUGAGUUACUAGCUGAAUACAAUUUUAAAUUCAUAACAUGCUAGGUUCAUAUAGUUUGGCAGAUUCUCAGAAUUGAUGUGGUAUGACCUUUGCAGUCACCCCUACACAUGAAUGAUGUAUCUAGGACUCAAAUACCCCUCUCCUCGUUUUUGAAUUAAAGGAAAGGUCUUGGGUUGAUAUUUUUGGAUUAAGAAAUUCAUCAUGCCUUAUUUUUCAAUGCUUGGAAGAAUCUUCUUCUCAGUUAACUAUCAAUGUACAAUUAUGAAAUUUGAUGAACUGGGGCAACUACCUUGAAAGGAUAAUUUGUAUCGAGUUAUUAAUAUUUUACAAAAAUUGAAUUUUAACAAUGGUCAACAUAGUCACUUGCUGUGAUUUACAUUUACGUUGUUUGUGUUUGUUUUUGUGUAUGUGCGUGUAUAUAUUUAUUAUAUUUCUUUUUUGACUUGGUCAUUUGUUGUGAUUUUUAUGUUUGCCUUUGUAUGAGUAGCUAUGGAGGCUUGUGCCAUAUCUACGCUUACGAAAGACAAGGGACGAAAAUAUGAAGUGUACUCUCUAUAUAUGUAGAUAUAUAUUUUGAUUGAAGAACUGUGGUAGCUUUAGAUGGUUAAUUGUAAAGAUAAUGAAUGAAUAUGUAGUGGAUGA
rnacentral:lncRNA from 1 species